rnacentral:rRNA from 1 species
AAGUCCUUUGGAACAGGGUGUCAUAGAGGGUGAGAAUCCCGUAUGUGACCGGCGACCAACCCCACGUAUUACUCCUUCGACGAGUCGAGUUGUUUGGGAAUGCAGCUCAAAAUGGGUGGUAAAUUUCAUCUAAAGCUAAAUACCGGCCAGAGACCGAUAGCGCACAAGUAGAGUGAUCGAAAGAUGAAAAGCACUUUGGAAAGAGAGUCAAAAAGUACGUGAAAUUGUUGAAAGGGAAGCGCUUGCAACCAGACCUGCCCGCCGGCGAUCAACCUCUGUUCUCAGGGGUGCACUCGUCGGUGAUCAGGCCAGCAUCGGUUCGGGCGGCCGGAUAAAGGCAUCGGGAAUGUAGCUCCUCUCGGGGAGUCUUAUAGCCCUUUGUGCAAUGCGGCCAGCCCGGACCGAGGACCGCGCUUCGGCUAGGAUGCUGGCGUAAUGGUUGUAAGCGACCCGUCUUGAAACACGGACCAAGGAGUCUAACAUCUAUGCGAGUGUUUGGGUGUCAAACCCAUACGCGUAAUGAAAGUGAACGGAGGUGAGAACCCUUAAGGGCGCAUCAUCGACCGAUCCAGAUGUCUUCGGAUGGAUUUGAGUAUGAGCAUAGCUGUUGGGACCCGAAAGAUGGUGAACUAUGCCUGAAUAGGGUGAAGCCAGAGGAAACUCUGGUGGAGGCUCGCAGCGGUUCUGACGUGCAAAUCGAUCGUCAAAUUUGGGUAUAGGGGCGAAAGACUAAUCGAACCAUCUGAACUUCCAUCUACUGGAUGGUUCAAUCGGGCCCCAUUCCGGGGCUCGAGCAGUCCCUUUUCGAGGGGCCACAUUGCCAGUCUUCGGGUAUGCCUCCGGGCUACCUGCAGCGGGCCUCCACGGGUUCUCGUUCACAGACUAAACGGCAAUGGCUGCGUUCCGUCGCAGUUGUGAG